rnacentral:lncRNA from 10 species
UGGAGAUCAAAAGCAAAGGGAACAGAAGUCAUAUUGUUGCAGAAGCAUAUUUCAGGCUGCUGGACCAGAUGGGGGAAACUGAUGAUGGUUCUUUACUACAACCACACAACUAGCCCAGAGGUGAGAGACCUACUGAUGAGGGCACCACCAAUUGGGUGGUUGCUCAGAGUUCUCAUCAGCUACGAGCAGAGCAUCUGAACUAACUCUUGGCUUGCCUUGCUGACACUCUCACCUCCUAUAAGGUAGAGGAGCGGCCAGUGAGGAAUUGCUACUAGAGUUAAAUUCAAACCAAGAAGCGGGAACUAUUUGGUGAGGCAGCAAGACCGGACCUUGGGUGAAGAUGUGGAAGCUGAGACUGAGAGAAAUCAAUGAAGUUGCCCAGGAGAUACACAUGGUGUACUCUGGAGCCAGGACUCAACCCCGACACUGUUGCUUCUGCUAAACAGAGGUGUCUCUCAUCCAUCUGUGCAGGACUGGGGAUAGGGAACAGAGAUCAGAACUUGUUUUCUGGAAGGGUGUAUGGAAGAAGCCACUGAUGCCUCAGGUUCCCUUUAGCAGGCUGGUGCUCCUAUCCCUGGUUGUUGUGAGUGUCAGGUGUUGAUGACUCAUAGCUGCUCCCUUCUCCUGACAAUUGCCCUCAGUUGGAUGAGAGCACCCACUGGGAAAUGUCUGGGAGAUUACCACCCCCUCUGCCACACAGUGGUCAGUAGUCCAUAGCUGACUGAGAGGAAGGCAGAAAAACCCACUUCCUUGCCUCAAGGUGGGUGAGCCUGUGGUACCUUCACAUUUUAGAGCUCCCCACAGGACCAAGCCAAGGUGAGACUUCAGCUGAACCACAUCUCUUUUUCUCCUCUUCUCCUCUCACCUCCUGCCUCCUUUCUUCCUCUGCAGGUUCCUUCUGAGAGCACUUGCUCAUUCAUUCACUUGCAUAAGAAUCCCUGUCUCAGCUUCUGCUUCAAGGGAGCCUGACCUAAGACAGGUGUUAAGAGUUAAAGCUUGGAUCACAAACUGGUUGUCAAUUCAUGGGUGCAAGAGGAGGAGCAGGAACCUCACCACAGAGCCAAGCCAUAUGUCUUUAGGAGGCCAGGUGCAGUUGCUCAUGCUUGUAAUGUUAGCACCUUGGGAGAUUGAGGUUGAGAGGAUUGCUUGAGGCCAGGACUUCAUGACCAGCCUGGGCAACAUAGCGAGACCCCAUUCCUAUUUAAUACACGAAUAAAAUACAAUAAAAAGAAAUCAGGAAAGCAGGGAUGCUGAGAGGAAGCGAGGAGGAGGUGGGGGAAGAUGGGAUGGGGGGCUGGAGGCAUUGAUUUUAUUUUUAAAAUUGUAAAAUUACAUAAAAUUGAUUAUUUAAACCAUUUUAAGUGUACAAUUCAAUGGCAUUCACUACAUACACAUUGUUGUGCGGCCAUCAGCACCAUCCAUCUGCAGAGCUUUUUCAUCUUGCAAAACUAAAACUCUGUACCCAUUAAGCAUUAACUCCCCAUUCCCCUCUCCCGGCAGCCCCCGGCAAGCACCAUUCUACUUUCUGUCUCUAAAUUUGACUACUCUAGGAACAUCAGAUAAAUGUCCUCAGUAUUUGUCUUUUUGUGUCUGGCUUCUUUCACUUAGUAUAAUGUCUUCAACGUCCAUCCAUGUUGUAGCAUGUGUCAGUACAUUAUUCUCUUUUAAGGCUAAUAUUCCAUUGUAUGGAUAUACCACAUUUUUAUUCAUUCAUCCAUCGAUACACACUUUGAUUGUUUCUACCUUUUUCUAUUGUUAAUAAUGCUGCUAUGAGUGUGGUUGGACAAAUACCUCUUUGCACCCCUGCCUUCAGUUCUUUUGGGUAUAUGCCCAGAAGCAGGAUUGCUGGAUCAUAUGGUAACUCUAUGUUUAAUGUUUUGAGGAACCAUCAUACUGUUUCCACAGUGGCUAUUCCAUUUUACAUUCCCACUAGCAGUGCACAAGUGUCCCAAUUUUUCUAUAUCCUCCCAACACUUGUUAUUUUCUGUUUUUUCAUAAUAGUUAUCCUAAUGGGUGUGAAGUAGAGGCACUUUUGGAGGCAGAAGGCUGAGAAGCUAUUUCCAUAUCUCUGCAAUGGCUGCUGGGAUGGCCGGGCUGGGUCACCCAUUGUCACUAAAAGCAGCCCAGUGAUAUCCAGGAUCGAGAGCCCUGGGCCCAUCUCUGCCUUCUCUAUGGCCAUCAACACUGCAGAGGUGAGGUGCUUCAUUCUCUCCACCAUUUAGAUUUUCCUUGCUAUUUCUCUAAAUCUCUUUGCUCGUGGGUGCAGACAGAACCCCACUGGGUGGAGGAGGAGGACGAUUUUAGUGACAGAUUGUUCUGUCCUCUGCUGCAGCUCUGUUCUCUGGCACUGGGCCAGGUGCUGCUUAUCGUUUUCUCUUUCCUAAGGCUGAUUCUUUCCAGGAAGCACCAUGGCACCUGGGGUUGAGUCUCUCCAGCCGCCUGGGCCUGCUCGGGCAGGGGGACCCCAGUGUGGACUCAGCCAAACUCUGUGAGAUCCUUCCCCCUCUUGUCCUUGGUCUUAGUUUGGGCUCCCCUAAAAACAGACCUCAGGAUUCCAGUGCAAGUAAUUCAUUUGGGAGGUGAGCCCAGAAAGGACAGUGAGAGAGAAGUGAGACAAAGAAGGAAGGAAAGCCAACAAAGGGUGCUUUAGGUGGGUUUCCAAUGUGGACACUAAGGCUCAAUCCCUCAAGGGACCCUUUCAGGGAGACAGGUCCUCAAAACUGUCCCCCACUGAGGAUGAGGAAGCUGAGGCAUUUCUUCACCAACCCGUGGCUUUCACUGUUUGUGGACUGUUCUGGAAGAGUGUAAACUCCCUGGCACUUCUAGGCUGCCUCAGACGUGGUCUGAAAAUGCCACUGCAGCCAGAGAGCGCUCUCAGAAAUGCAAAUCAAAACCACUUCGUGAUAGCACCUCGCACCUGUUAGAUUGGCUGUUAUCAAAAGAUGAAAGAUAUCAAAUGUUGGUGAGGAUGUGGAGAAAAGGAAACCCUUGUGCACUGUUGGUGAGAAUGUAAAUUAGUAUAGCCAUUACGUAAAACAGUAUGGAGGUUCGUCAAAAAACUAAAAUAAAACUACCAUAGGAUCCAGCAAUCCCACUGCUGGGUAUAUAUCCAAAGGAAAUCAGUAUGUGGAAGAGAUAUCUGCACCCCCAUGUUUAUUGCAGCAUUGUUCAUAAUAGCCAAAAUAUGGAAUCAACCUAAGUGUCCAUCAAUGGAUGAAUGAAGAAAAUGUACUAUAUAAACACUAUGAAAUACUAUGUAGCCUUAAAAAAAAAAACUGGAAAUUCUGUCAUUUGUGACAACAUGAAUGAACCUGGAGGACAUUAUGCUAAGUGAAACAGGCCAGGAAUAGAGACAAAUACCAUAUGAUCUCACUUAUAUGUGGGAUCUAAAAAAGUCAAACUCGGCCGGGUGCAGUGGUGCACACCUAUAAUCCCAGCACUUUGAGAGGCUGAGGUGGGCAGAUCGCUUGAGCUCAGGAGUUGGAGACCAGCCUGGGCAACAUGGCAAAACCCUAUCUCUGCUAAAAAAUACCAAAAUUAGCCAGGUGUGGUGGUGCAUGCCUAUAGUCCCAGCUACUUGGGAGGCUGAGGUGGGAGGAUCAUUUGAGCGAAGGAGAUGGAGGCUGCAGUGAGCCGAGAUCAUGCCACUACACUCCAGCCUGGGUGACAGAGUGAGACCCUGUCUGAAAAAAAAAAAGUCAAAUUAAUAGAAGCAGAGAGUAGAAUGGUGGUUACCAGAGGCUGGGGAGGGGGCUGGAGAAAGGGGAGAUGUUAGUCAAUGGGUACACAGUUCAGUUAGACAUGAGGAAUAAGUUCUGGUGAUCUAUUGCACAAUACUGUGUGACAGUUAAUAAUAAUGUAUUGCAUAUUUCAAAACACUAAAAGAGAAGAUUUUAAACGUUUUCACCACAAAGAAAUAAAUAUUUGAGGUGAUGGUUAAGCUAAUUGGCCUGAUUUGAUCAUUCCGUGAUGUAAACAUGUAUCCAAGUAUCCAAACCAUCACAUUGUACCUCAUGAAUAUAUACAAUUAUUAUUUGUAAAUUAAAAAUAAAGUAAAACUCAAAAAAAGACAAAGAGAGCUCUCAAGCAGAGGAAUAGAAAACACAGCUAAGAGUGUGACACUUGGGUAGGCUGAGGGGCUAUAGGUGAGGCACUGACAACACCUGCUGCCUUGUCCUUGGUAUUAAAGGGUGUUCAUGUCAACCUGGAAGAAGGUGGUGAGGUUAGGAUGGAAGGUGUGGCCCUACAUUUGCACCUGGUGGACACUUUCAGACUCCUACUUAGUUCAGAGUAACAUUUACUGAGUCCCCAGUUCAUAUGCAAUAUCAUAUUUUAUCCUCAUGAUAACACCAUGAUAGAAGGUAUUUUCUAUGGUUUGAAUGUCUGCUUUCCAGAAUUCAUGUAGAAACUUAUUCUCCAAUGCAAUAGUAUUUAAGAGGUGGAGCCAUUAGGAGGUGAUUAGGUCAUGAGGGCUCUUUCUCCAUGAAUGGGAUUGAGGACCUUAUAAAAGAGGCUUUAUAGAGUGUUAGGCUUUUUUUGUCCUUCUAUCCCUUCUGCCACGUGAGGACAUAGUGUUCAUACCUUUCGGAGGAUGCAGCAAGAAGGUGCCAUCUUGGAAGCAGAGAGCAGCCCUCACCAGACAUCAAACUUGCUGGUGCCUUGAACUUCCCAGCCUCCAAGACUGAAAGAAAUAAAUUUCUAUUAUUUAUAAAUUACCUAGUCUCAUGUAUUUUGUUAUAGCAGCAUGAAAAGACUAAGAUAAAAAUUGGUAACAAGAAGUAGGGUCUUGCUCUAACAAAUGCCUGGAAAUGUGGAAGCAGCUUUGGAACUGGGUAAUGGGUGGAAGCAAGAAGAAUUUGAAAGAAUAGGCUAGAAAAAGCCUGUAUUACCACGAAUGGUCCAUAAAGGCUGAUUCUCAUGAAAGUGCAGAAUAAGAG